rnacentral:rRNA from 1 species
UACGAGGGGGGCGAGCGUUGUUCGGAAUUAUUGGGCGUAAAGGGUGCGUAGGCGGUUUGGUAAGUCUGAUGUGAAAUCUAUGGGCUCAACUCAUAGUCUGCAUCGGAAACUGCCGGGCUUGAGUAUGGGAGAGGUGAGUGGAAUUCCUGGUGUAGCGGUGAAAUGCGCAGAUAUCAGGAAGAACACCCGUGGCGAAGGCGGCUCUCUGGGACGGUACUGACGCUGAGACGCGAAAGCGUGGGGAGCGAACAGG